rnacentral:tRNA from 1 species
UUUAAUAUGGCAGAUAAAUGCAUUAGAUUUAAAAUCUAUUUAUAAAGAAAUAACUUUUAUUAAAU